AGGGGCGGAUCGUCCAUUGGCAGGAGGGCGGGCGGGGGGCGGGACCGGGCGGGACAACGAGGUGAUAAAUGGGGCGGCGCAGAACCCGCGCAGGACCAGAAAGGCGGAGGCGGCAGCGGCAGCGUGAGCUUGUUGCCCCCCCCUUCCCCCCCCCCCGCCGCGGGAAACCCGAGAGCGGCAGGAACGGCGGCCGGAAUCAGUUAACGGGGCGGCUCAGGGCGGUAAUUAUCGUGCGGGUGUUAAUUGGGGCUCGGCGGGUUAAUGAGUGACCGGCGGGCUGGGGUGUAUCUGGGGGUUUUGAUCGGAAUUGGGGUUUUAAAGCCGCGGGUUUGUGGGGGGGGGGGGGGGGGGCGGGGGCGAUUAAGGCUCCCGGAGCCGCUUUAGCGGCUUAAAUCUUUGUGUUGAACGCGGGAGGAGCCGGUUCGGGGCUUUUCUCAGCAAUGGGGGCUGGUUUGGGUCCAAUUCGGCUUUUAAAAGAUGUUUUUACGUAAUUUUUGGGUGCCGAUUUGUGCCAAAAGGCGCCUUUAAAAUCUGUUUAUUGAGGGUUUAUCAGGAGAAUUAAAGUUUAAAGCUCGGGGAGAUUUGGGGCUUUUCCCCGGGAUUUUGAGUCCAAAUCGGUUUUUUUAGAGUCCAUAUUUAUUUAAAUUAUUAUGUUUAAAGGGUUUAUUUGAGGUUUUAUUUGGAACAUUUUGGGCGGGUUUGAGGCUCCUAAGAUUUAAUUGUUGGUUUAUUAUUUGAUUUAUUAUUUCACUGCGGUUCGGGGCUCCUGAAGACGCUGAGUUGUUUCAAUUAUUUAGCGCUGUGAGGAGCCGUUUUGGGGCCGUUUGCGUCUAAAUCGGCUUUUUAAAAGGUUUAUUUAAUGCGUUUAAAGUUUGAGGGGCCGAUUUGCGACUUUAAAGCUUUUUGAAUCUACUUAUUGAUAAGAAUUUAUACAAUAGAUUAAUAUUUAAAGCCCGGGGGGAGAUUUGGGGCUGUUUCCCAGGAUUGCGAGUCCAAAUGCGUUUUUUUUCUGUAAACCGCUUAUUAAUUUAAAUUAUUAUAUUUAAACGGGGCUUUUUGAGGUUUUAUGAGGGUUUUUUUGAGCAUUUUGGGCGGUUCUGAGGCUCCUAAAGCCGGUUAAUUGUUUAAAUUAUUAAUUGUUAAAAUAAUGUAAGUAGUUGUUGAAAUAAGUGUGUAAGUUAUUGUAUUUAAAGCCGGGAGGGGCAUUUCGUUGCUUUUUGGGGGGUUUUAGGGCUGAAUUCACUUCAUUGAACGUGUCUAGAGCUGGGGGUCCCAGAUCUGGUGCUGAUUUGGCCCCAAAAAAAGCUUUAAAAAUCUAUUUAUUUAUAAUUUACUGAAUUAAUAUUUAAGCGGGAACAUGUUCGGCUUUUUUAACCCGCCGCCAUUUUGUCUCCCCCGUCCCGCUCUCCCUCACGCUGAGGGGGCCGAGGAGACGCUCGCUGAUUGGCCGGUGCCGUCUGGCGGGAAAGCCUCCCCUGGCUCAGCCCCGCUCAGCUGUCUCCGAGGAAGAGAAAGGCGCUGAUUGGUCGCAGCCUCUGAGGAGAGAAAGGCGCUGAUUGGUCGCCGCCUCCCUAAAACCACCUCCUGCGCAGAGAACAGUGAAGGCAGCCUGGCCACGCCCCCUCCGGCUGACCGCGCGUGCCCCCCCCGCAACUCGGCUGACCGCGCGUGCCCCCCCCAACUCCGGCUGACUGUGCCCCCCCGCCCCCCCCGGCUGACCGCGUGCCCCCCCACUGCACUCCUGCUGACUGUGCGCCCCCCCCACCUCCUCCGGCUGGCCACAUCUCCACUGCACACCAUGGCGGGGAUGGGGCGGGGGGGCAUCACAAGGGUCUAUGGGGCGGUGUGGGGGUCAGGGCGGCUGUGGGGUCAAUGGGGUUGUUGUGGGGUGAAACACCCCUGAAGAGGCUGAACACCCUGCAGGUGAGUGACCCACACAGUGCCCCGCAGUGCCCCAUAGCACUUCCAUUCUGCCCUAUGGAUCCACAACACUGCCCCACAGCACCCUAUAGCUCCGGCUUGCUAUCCCACAGCACCCCAUGGCUUCUCCACUCUGCCCCAUAUGUCUACAGCAGUGCCACAGAGUACCUCAUAUGUCUUCCACUCUGCCCCAUGGGUGCAGAGUGCUGCCCUACAGCACCCUAUAGCUCCUGUACUCUGCCCCACAGAUCCACAGAGCUGUCCCACAGCACCCUAUAGCUCCUCUGGCCUAUAGACCCACUGUACUGCCCCACAAUGCCCCAUAGCUCCUACACUCUGCCCCAUAGACCCACAACACUGCCCCACAGCACCCCAUGGCUCCUGCACUCUGCCCCAUGGAUGCCCAGUACUGCCCCACAGCACCAUAUAGCUCCUGUACUCUGCCCCAUAGACCCACAACACUGCCCCACAGCACCCCAUGGCUCCUGCACUCUGCCCCAUGGAUGCCCAGUACUGCCCCACAGCACCAUAUAGCUCCUGUACUCUGCCCCAUACAUCCACAGGAGUGCCCCACAGCACCCCAUAGUGACUCUACUCUUCCCCAUAGACCCACAGUGCUGCCCCACAGGACUCUACUCUGCCCCUUAGACCCAGAGAGCUGCCCCACAGCAGCCUGUAGGUGCUGCGUUCUGCCCCAUUGGUGCCAAGUGCUGCCCCACAGCGCCCCACACCUCUGUCCACCUGACCACCCUUCCCUCCUGACUGCGCCUGCACUGCCCACUAUGGGUGGGUCACAAGGGUCUAUGGGGUGGUGUGGGGGUCAGGGGGGCUGUGGGGUCAAUGGGGUUGUUGUGGGGUGAAACACCCCUGAAGAGGCUGAGCCCCCUACAGGUGAGUGACCCACACAGUGACCCACAGCAGCCCAUAGCCCCUCUGCCCUAUAGAGUCACUGCACCCCAUAGCUGCUUUUACUCUGCCCCAUAGACGGACAGCAGUGCUCCACAGCACCCUAAGUCUCCACUCUGCCCCAUAGACACACAGUGCUGUCCCACAGCACCCCAUAUCUUGUUCACUCUGCCCUAUAGACCCACAGUGUAACCCUACAGCACCCCAUAGUUCCUCUGACCUAUAGAUCAACAGCACUGUCCCAGAAAACACCAUAACUUCUUCCCACUAGCCCAUAGGCCAACAAUUCUGCCCUACGGCACACUGUAGCUCCUGCACCCUGCCCCAUAGACCCACAGCAGUGCCCCACAGAUCCAGUCUGCCCUAUACAUCCACAGCACUGCUCUGCAGCACCAUAUACUUCCAGCACUCUGCCCCAUUGAUGUGUAGCACCCCACAGCUGCUGCAUUCCGCCCAUAGAUCGACAUUCCUGGGUCCCCUCACCCCACUAGAUGUCCUGGGUUGCGAUGCUGCACGGGGCCCUGUGCACAACAAAAUGAGGACAGCAUGGCUGCUGGGCGCCACCCUGCUUGGAAUCCAAGAUGGCUGGGGGGGGGAGGGCUGGCAGCCAUGCUGGCACUGCCGGAGGGGCUGUUGGUCUGCACCGUGCUCAGGCGGCAGCUCCCGGCUGUAUCGGCUGCCCCUGUGGCCCUGCACCCUGCUCAUGGGAACAAGGUGGCUGCCCUGAUGGGCGUGGCCAUCUCGGCUGCUGUGUCCCUGCUGGUGGGCGGGGCCAUGGCUGUCAUGGCUGCCAAGCCUGUGCUGGAAGGGUGGGGCUGAGGUGGGUGGGGCCUGUCUAGGGUGGCCAUUUUGGGGUGGGGCCCAAGGUGGGUGGUGGGGCCUGUGGCUCUGUUUACCCCUGAUGGCCAUCUUGGAAAAGGGCAGCGCUGUGCCGCUGCCAUCCUGACGUUGCUCCCCCAGGGCCGUGUUGGGGGAUUUUUAACCUGGUUUUGGGGCCAAUUCUCACCCAAUAAAAUUAAAUAAUGUAAAAAAACCUUAAG